rnacentral:rRNA from 1 species
UACGUAGGGGGCUAGCGUUGUCCGGAUUUAUUGGGCGUAAAGAGCGUGUAGGCGCCAGGUAGGUCUGCUGUGAAAACUCGAGGCUCAACCUCGAGAUGUCGGCGGAAACCAUCUGGCUAGAGUCCGGAAGAGGAGAGUGGAAUUCCUGGUGUAGCGGUGGAAUGCGUAGAGAUCCGGAAGAACACCGGUGGCGAAGGCGGUCGCUGGGCAGUAGCUGGACACUGGAUGCGCGACAGCGUGGGGAGCAAACAG